CCUGGCAGGCCAGUAAAUCAUCUGGCCACAGGCUGUAGGACAUGCAGUGAAGAAGUGGGGCAGUCCAGGGGGUAGGCACCCUGGAUUCGUCUGGGAUCCAUCUCACACCUGCUGGAGGCCAAGGAUGGACGGUUGAAGAUGCUUCCUUGGCUUCUGCCAGAGCACAUGUACCCAGGCUGACUGCAGUUUUGAUUCUCCAAACCGAACCACUGAAUGCUCUUUAGAAAGAAAUACAGUCAGUGUUAAUGUAGUGCCCUACAGUAAAACCUUCAACUUUUCACGAGUGGAAAUUUGAUAGGAAGAGGCCAGGCCAUGCUGAACCAAGAAUCAGGAUCCGGACUAAGGACUGAGAUAUUCUUUGUAGAAAUGCAAAGUCUCCAUCCCUUAUGAAUUUCAAGUUUACUUCUCAAUUGACCAACAAAAUCCCCAUUAAAAAAAAAAAUUAU